CCUACGGGAGGCAGCAGUGGGGAAUCUUGCACAAUGGAGGAAACUCUGAUGCAGCGAUGCCGCGUGAGUGAAGAAGGCCUUUGGGUUGUAAAGCUCUUUUGUAGGGGAAGAUAAUGACUGUACCCUAAGAAUAAGGUCCGGCUAACUUCGUGCCAGCAGCCGCGGUAAUACGAAGGGACCUAGCGUAGUUCGGAAUUACUGGGCGUAAAGCGCGCGUAGGCCGUUGAGUUAGUUAAUUGUGAAAUCCCAAAGCUUAACUUUGGAACUGCAAUUAAAACUGCUCGACUAGAGUUUGAUAGAGGAAAGCGGAAUACAUAGUGUAGAGGUGAAAUUCGUAGAUAUUAUGUAGAACACCAGUUGCGAAGGCGGCUUUCUGGAUCAACACUGACGCUGAGGCGCGAAAGUAUGGGGUAGCAAAGAGGAUUAGAUACCCUCGUAGUCCAUACCAUAAACGAUGAUUGCUAGAUGUUGGAAAUUUAUUUUCAGUAUCGCANCUACGACAUAUANAUCNCGUCGGNGUACGACGCAGUAACGUACAAGAAGUAGAGCGNGAGAGNGCGACGCGACGACGAGGAGAG
rnacentral:rRNA from 1 species